rnacentral:rRNA from 1 species
AUGUUUCGUAGGAAGCACGCUUCUCAUUUCAAUUCAGAUGAUGCUGAGCAGCGACAAGCAAAGAUCAACGAACUGAGAGCUGCACUUGGGCCUAUGUCUGCCCGUGGCGAAAAGUACUGCAGUGAAGCAUGCUUGGCAAGGUAUCUCGAAGCCCGCAACUGGAAUGUCGACAAGUCUAGGAAAAUGUUGGAAGAAAGUCUCAAGUGGAGGGCACUUAGCAGGCCUGAGGAUAUUCGCUGGCCUGAUGUUUCUGUGGAAGCAGAAACAGGUAAAAUGUACAGGGCAACUUUCACCGAUAGAGAAGGGAGAACUGUCGUUAUUAUGAGACCUGCAAAGCAGAAUACAUCGUCUCAUGAAGGCCAGUUGCGGUAUCUUAUAUACACCCUGGAGAAUGCAGUUCUCAGCCUGCCUCAGGGUCUAGACAAAAUGGUGUGGUUGAUAGACUUCACAGGAUGGACACUGGCCAAUGCAACCCCCAUAAAGACUGCCAGAGACAGUGCGAAUAUCCUGCAAAACCAUUACCCUGAGAGGCUCUCUGUUGCGUUUUUGUUCAAUCCCCCCAAAGUAUUUGAGGCUUUCUUUAAGGUUAUCAAAGUAUUCCUUGACCCGAAAUCAAUCCAGAAAGUCAACUUUGUGUACAAGGACAACGAGGAGAGUAUGAAGACAAUGUACAAGCACAUUGAUCCAGAAGUCCUUCCGGUGGAGUUUGGAGGGAAGAACAUUGUGGUGUACAACCAUGAGGAUUACUCCAAGUUGAUGACAAAGGAUGACAUCAAAACAGCAAGCUUUUGGGCGGCAGACGGUAGCCAUGCCGUAAAUGGGGGCUCGGUGCCUCAGGUCAUACCGCAGUCCUCACCAAUUGUUGCUAAAGCAAGUUGA